rnacentral:tRNA from 2 species
GGGAUUUUAGUAUAAUGGUCAAUACAUAUGACUUUUAAUCAUAAAGAUAUCGGUUCGAAUCCCAUAGAUCCUA